AGUCUGGUGCCAGCAGCCGCGGUAAUUCCAGCUCUGAAGGUGUAUACCACCGUUGUUGCGGUUAAAACGCUCGUAGUUGGAUCUACGUUCGUGGGGUCGGUGUUCUCUUAUGAGUUCUACUGACUACCUGAACUGAAACAGCUGGUUUUCCCUUGGUGCUCUUUAUUGGGUGCCCUGGGUGGCUAGCAAGUUUACUUUGAAAAAAUUAGAGUGCUCAAAACAGGCGCAUGCCUGAAUAGUGGUGCAUGGAAUAAUGGAAUAGGAUCUUGGUCCUAUUUUGUUGGUUUUCGGGAGCCAAGAUAAUGAUUAAGAGGGACAGACGGGGGCAUUCGUAUUGCAGCGUUAGAGGUGAAAUUCUUGGAUCGUUGCAAGACGAACAACUGCGAAAGCAUUUGCCAAGAAUGUUUUCAUUAAUCAAGAACGAAAGUUAGAGGUUCGAAGGCGAUCAGAUACCGCCCUAGUUCUAACCGUAAACGAUGCCAACUCGCGAUCUAGUGGUGUUAUUUAUGACCCGCUAGGGAGCGUCCCGGAAACGAAAGUUUUUCGGUUCCGGGGGAAGUAUGGUUGCAAAUCUGAAACUUAAAGGAAUAGACGGAAGGGCACCACCAGGAGUGGAGCCUGCGGCUUAAUUUGACCCAACACGGGAAAACUCACCCGGCCCGGACACCGUAAGGAUUGACAGAUUGAGAGCUCUUUCUUGAUUCGGUGGGUGGUGGUGCAUGGCCGUUCUUAGUUGGUGGAGCGAUUUGUCUGGUUAAUUCCGAUAACGAACGAGACUCUAUCCUACUAAAUAGCAAGCGGAUCAGCCCAGUCCGCAGUGCUUCUUAGAGGGACAAGCAGCUUUUAGCUGCACGAAAGUGAGCAAUAACAGGUCUGUGAUGCCCUUAGAUGUCCGGGGCUGCACGCGCGCUACACUGAAAGGAUCAGCGUGCAAGAUACCUUCCCCGAGAGGGGUGGGUAACCCAAUCAAAACCUUUCGUGAUUGGGAUAGGAGAUUGCAAUUAUUCUCCUUGAACGAGGAAUUCCCAGUAAGUGUGGGUCAUCAGCUCGCGCUGAUUACGUCCCUGCCCUUUGUACACACCGCCCGUCGCUGCCCGGAACUGAGCCGUUUCGAGAAGAAUAGGGACUGCUGUUUGGUGGCCUUCGGGUUGCCUCUUGGCGGAAACUGUUUU
rnacentral:rRNA from 1 species